rnacentral:rRNA from 1 species
UACAGAGACUGCAAGCGUUAUUCGGAUUCACUGGGCGUAAAAGGGUGCGCAGGCGGUUGGGUGUGUCAGAUGUGAAAAUCCCCGAGGCUUAAACCCUCGGAACUGGCGUCUGAAACUACUCGACUAGAGUACUGGAGAGGGUAACGGAAUUCACGGUGUAGCAGUGAAAUGCGUAGAUAGUCGAUGAGGAACACCAGAGGCGAAGGCGGUUACCUGGACAGUUACUGACGCUCAGGCACGAAAGCAUGGGGGAGCAAAAGGG